CCUACGUGAGGCAGCAGUAGGGAAUCUUCCACAAUGGGCGAAAGCCUGAUGGAGCAACGCCGCGUGGGUGAAGAAGGUCUUCGGAUCGUAAAACCCUGUUGUUAGAGAAGAAAGUGCGUGAGAGUAACUGUUCACGUUUCGACGGUAUCUAACCAGAAAGCCACGGCUAACUACGUGCCAGCAGCCGCGGUAAUACGUAGGUGGCAAGCGUUAUCCGGAUUUAUUGGGCGUAAAGGGAACGCAGGCGGUCUUUUAAGUCUGAUGUGAAAGCCUUCGGCUUAACCGGAGUAGUGCAUUGGAAACUGGGAGACUUGAGUGCAGAAGAGGAGAGUGGAACUCCAUGUGUAGCGGUGAAAUGCGUAGAUAUUAGGAGGAACACCAGUGGCGAAGGCGAUUUGCUGGACUGUAACUGACACUGAGGCACGAAAGCGUGGGGAGCAAACAGGAUUAGAUACCCUUGUAGUC
rnacentral:rRNA from 1 species